rnacentral:rRNA from 1 species
CACGUAGGGGGCAAGCGUUGUCCGGAUUUAUUGGGCGUAAAGAGCUCGUAGGCGGUUCGGUAAGUCGGGUGUGAAACCUCCAGGCUCAACCUGGAGACGCCACCCGAUACUGCUGUGACUAGAGUCCGGUAGGGGAGCGUGGAAUUCCUGGUGUAGCGGUGAAAUGCGCAGAUAUCAGGAGGAACACCGAUGGCGAAGGCAGGUCUCUGGGCCGAUACUGACGCUGAGGAGCGAAAGCGUGGGGAGCGAACAGG